rnacentral:snRNA from 1 species
GUGCUCGCUUCGGUAGCACAUAUACUAAAAUUGGAAUGAUACAGAGAAAGUUAGCAUGGCCCCUGCACAAGGAUGACAUGCAAAUUUGUGAAGCAUUCCAUAUUUUU